GCAGUAGCCCAGCCGGUCAGGGCAGAAGACUCAUAAUCCUCCGGUCGUGGGGUCGGCUUUCGCGCUCCAGCACCA
rnacentral:tRNA from 1 species